GCUGCCUGCGGGACAGAGAGGCAGCAGCCCUCAGUUCCCAGCCCUUCUCACCCCGGCACCCAGGCUGGACUGCUGUCCACAGGGGCUCCUACGAGCCUCAGCUCUCCCCAUCCUCCUCCCCACGGGGCUCCUCGCAUCUGUCCGCCUGGGCAUCCUCCCACGCGUGGCUAAUCCCCACCUCUGAGCUCUGGUUGCACCAUCAGCCCCUGACACGCCCUCCUGCGUCCGCAACCCCAUCACAUCCUCGGAGAGCCUGCCCCUCCAGGAGGCUUCUCAGACGGACAGGGCUGUCGGACAGACCCUGCCCUGUUGCGUGUGCCCUCCGCACGCCCACAGAGGGCUUCACGUGUCCUAACGUUCUGCUUUCUCCAGCAGCUUCCUCGGAGAGUGGGUGGCCUUGUCUCCUCUGAAUGGAAGCCCCCCGACCAGUACUGGGCACUUUGCAGGAUUCCCCAGGAGGCAGUUAAAAGUGCUUUAGACUUUUGGAAAGUCAGAGCUGGAAGGCCCUGGGGGUCAUGGAAUCCAGGGGUUCUAAGCUCUGGCAUCAGAGUCACCCAGGGGCUGAUCCCACCCCAGAGGCUCGGAUCCAGCAGGCCUGGGAGGGGCCAGAUCAUCUGCGCCCCAGGCGAUACACCCGGGGGGAUCACAGAGCUGACGCAACCCCAUGCUGCAGACUUGAGGUUGGCGCGCAGGUCCAUGGACACCUUGUGCUUGGAGCCCAGCAGGGCGCGCAGCAUGGCGUCGGCCGAGACGCGGACGCGCCGCAGGGGGGGGCGCUUGAACUUCCCGCGCAGGUCCAGCACCUUGAGCUUCAGGUCCUUGAUCUGCGGGGAGGGGGCAGCUCAGGGCUCCGGGCCCCAGCCAGGCCCCACUUCUCCAGGCUCCAGGCCAGGCCCUCGGGGACGCCCAGACCCACUAUCUGUCACCUUGCAAACAGCCACCUCCGUUCUAUCCUAUUCAAUUGGUACAGGGGUGAGUGGGACUCCGAGAGGGAACUCGGUUAGCCGUGGCGGCCAUGGCAGCCAUGCAGGGAAGAGACAGAAGUGUCAUUCGGAAGCCCUGUUUGCAGUGGGACGGGCCACUUCCUCUUAUUCCCGCUUCUAACCAGUCCCUUCCCAGUGAGCCUUCAGAGCAGGUCAUUGAGGGCACAGCCCUGGUCCAGCAGGAUGGAUAAACCCCAUGUCCGAGCCCCCUGCGGGAUUUCCAGGGUGCAACCUCAGGAGGAAAUUCUGGGGGGAUCCCUGAACCCACAGACCGUCAUUCCUGCUGGGGAGGAGUGGGAAGGAGGGAAGUGGCUCUAGUCCCUCCCCACCCCUCUGCUGGAACAGGCACCCACUCCAGCAGCAGGAGCCCUGCCCCUCCGCAUUCUGCCCACCGCACCAGAGCUGGGUCUGGGUGGAGCUGACGCCCCGCGCCCCAUGCCGGGGGAGUGCUGAGUGACUGGAGUGAGGGUCCGAGGCCAGGCCCAUCCCAGGUCCACUUGCUGUGUGACCUGGGCCGAGUUUCUCAGCCUCUCUGAACCUGUGUGCUCAUCUGUCAGGUGCAGAUAAAAGCACCCACUUCGUCCACAGGCGUGCAGGGAGGAUCAAAGGGACAAGGCACAUGAAAGCCGUUUGCAAGGCUUUUCUGUUAGUUGAUUUCGCCCAACUUUCAGCUACCGUGAGUGGGGUCCUCACACGGUUAAGCUGGGCCAGGUGAGCUGUGAUGUGCGCUGGGUGAGGCGUAGACAGUGCACUUUGGACCUACGACAGUUUCACCUGACGAUGGGUUUCUUGGGACUUAACCCCAUCAUUCAGAGACUCAGCUCCCUGACCGAGGGGCUGAAUCCUGCAAGACACUGCGUGGGUCACAGGGUCUGGGCACCCCCUUCCUCAUCUGUGAGUCAGGAUGCUGAGACCCACCUUACCCGGUCCACAGAGGGACUACAGACAGAAUGAGAUGGUGGGUGAGCACCGGCUUCGAACAGCGUGCCGGAGGCACGCGGCCUGGCGCGCUGGGGCAACGUUGUGUCACCAGAGGAGUAAGCCCUGAGUUCCCUCAGUAAAGACGCUCCAUCUCUUUAGACGUCAAAACUCUUCUUGAUGUCAACACAAUCCAUGUAAAUUGCUCUCAGUUAUGCAGACAAUAUUUUCUCUUCUUAUUAAACAUGCUUGACAUCUC